rnacentral:rRNA from 1 species
CUACGGGAGGCACCAGUGAGGAAUAUUGCACAAUGGAGGAAACUCUGAUGCAGCAACGCCGCGUGGAGGAUGACGCAUUUCGGUGUGUAAACUCCUUUUAUAUGUCAAGAAAAUGACGGUAGCAUAUGAAUAAGCUCCGGCUAACUCCGUGCCAGCAGCCGCGGUAAUACGGAGGGAGCAAGCGUUACUCGGAAUCACUGGGCGUAAAGGACGCGUAGGCGGGAUAGAAAGUCAGGUGUGAAAUCCUAUGGCUCAACCAUAGAACUGCACUUGAAACUUCUAACCUAGAGUAUGGGAGGGGAAGAUGGAAUUAGUGGUGUAGGGGUAAAAUCCGUAGAUAUCACUAGGAAUACCAAAAGCGAAGGCGAUCUUCUGGAACAAUACUGACGCUAAGGCGUGAAAGCGUGGGGAGCAAACAGGAUUAGAUACCCGUGUAGUC